rnacentral:lncRNA from 1 species
AUGAAUUGCACAGUGGAGGGUAGGGGGGACGACAGCAGAGUAUCCCUGAUAGAGCCACCAACACUAUCAGAGACACAAAUGUCCAUCUUGCUGACCCUCCCUUGCCCAAGUCCCACCCCUGGCAGUGACCACCUACCUUUGACCAAUAGUCUCAUUUUAUUGGGGGAAGGAAGGGCCUUAGGACAGCAGAUGAGGAAUAAAAGGCCAUGCAGUGAAUCAGCGGCACAGACUUGCUUCUGGCCCAUUAGGAUCACCAGUAAGCUCCCAGACACCAUGGUGCAUUUUACUACCGAGGAGAAGGCUGCUGUUGCUAGUCUGUGGACCAAAGUGAAUGUGGAGGUGGUCGGCGGUGAGAGCCUGGCAAGGCUCUUGAUCGUCUACCCAUGGACCCAGAGGUUCUUUGACAGUUUUGGUAACUUAUGCUCUGAGUCUGCCAUAAUGGGCAACCCCAAGGUCAAGGCCCACGGCAGGAAGGUGCUGAACUCCUUUGGAAAUGCCAUUAAGCACAUGGAUGACCUCAAGGGCACCUUUGCAGAUCUAAGUGAGCUACACUGUGACAAAUUGCACGUGGAUCCCGAGAACUUUAGGCUCCUGGGCAAUGUGCUAGUGGUUGUGCUGGCUCGCCACUUUGGCAAGGAAUUCACCCCGGAGCUGCAGGCUGAGUUUCAGAAGGUGGUGGCUGGUGUGGCUAGUGCCCUGGCCCACAGAUAUCACUAA